GCACCGGUGGUGCAUGGUGCACGCUGCCAUUAAAUGGGGAGGAUCAAGGUGACGCGUUUCAGGCAGAUCGGGGUUCGAUUCCCCGCCGGUGCA